rnacentral:rRNA from 2 species
GACCUCGGAUCAGGUAGGGAUACCCGCUGAACUUAAGCAUAUCAAUAAG